rnacentral:rRNA from 1 species
CCUACGGGUGGCAGCAGUGAGGAAUAUUGGUCAAUGGACGAGAGUCUGAACCAGCCAAGUCGCGUGAAGGAUGACUGCCCUAUGGGUUGUAAACUUCUUUUAUAUGGGAAUAAAGUGUUCCACGUGUGGGAUUUUGUAUGUACCAUAUGAAUAAGGAUCGGCUAACUCCGUGCCAGCAGCCGCGGUAAUACGGAGGAUGCGAGCGUUAUCCGGAUUUAUUGGGUUUAAAGGGAGCGUAGGUGGAUUGUUAAGUCAGUUGUGAAAGUUUGCGGCUCAACCGUAAAAUUGCAGUUGAAACUGGCAGUCUUGAGUACAGUAGAGGUGGGCGGAAUGCGUGGUGUAGCGGUGAAAUGCUUAGAUAUCACGAAGAACUCCGAUUGCGAAGGCAGUUCACUGGACUGCAACUGACGCUGAGGCUCGAAAGUGUGGGUAUCAAACAGGAUUAGAUACCCGAGUAGUC